ensembl:lncRNA
GGGCUCCCGGCUGCCUUGUCUCUUAGCAGGCUUUGGUUACUUCACCCCCAGUGACUGCUUUCAGCACUCCCUAGGAUUCCAGCCCAGCAUGACAGUGCUGUAUGCAUGCACACUAACAUAUGCCCCUGUGCACCCUGAUUAGUUGUGUUGAACAGGACAAUUUCCUCUUUGUUUGACCGUUCUUGUAGAAUAGCUAUCCUAUUCUGGAGCUGUGGACCUGGAAGUCCUGGGAGAAGCAGGCAAUGCUGCGUGGCAGAGAGGAGGCUGCUUUGUGAAGAUAUUGCGGGCACCACGUCCAUGCAUUGGCAGGCAGCAUUCAGCACAGUGCGUGGCUGUCAGUGUGCUCCUGCAGCGGUCACUGGCGAAGGAAGUGCUGCUCCUUUGGAUGCAAAGGACCCCGAUACUUGGGUUGUACGCUCCCUGAUUUUGCCACUGCUCAUCCUCCUACUCCAUGCCAAAUCCCACUUGUCUCAUGCUGUCACUCUGGCAGCGAGCUGAGAGUCAUAAUCAUAUUAGAAACAUGGCAGGUUAAACUCAGAGAGAAAAACUAAAAAGGGCCUCUCCAGAAGGAUUUGUGACUGUUGAAAAAUCUCCAAGUCAUCUCCUGCCAGCGCUGCUAGACACCGGGGGAUUGUCACCUGCCGUGCAGUAAAGGAAAACAUUUCUUUUUUGAAAGAAUACACCACCAUAUUCUUCCUUAACUAGGCAGAAAUACGGGGCUGCCAGCAGGAGCUGACUGUAAACCUACAAAGAGUGACAAAUGAGCCAAACGGAAGCUAUGCAGGGUAUGUAGCUGCUUGCCCCUCGUUUCCCUGAUAGCAUCAGGGAUGCUGCAUGCGGGGGUGACAGCCACUUGCACGUGCCCCUUCCCGCUACCUCCCUCCAUGCCCAGGAAUACCCCCUCCUAAAUGCGCUCUUGAUUCCA